UACAGAGGGGCAAGCGUUAUUCGGAAUUAUUGGGCGUAAAGGGCGCGUAGGCGGUCGGACAAGUGGAAGGUGAAAUCCCCGGGCUUAACCUGGGAACUGCCCUCCAAACUGUUUGACUUGAGUCCGGGAGAGGUGAGUGGAAUUCCCAGUGUAGCGGUGAAAUUCGUAGAUAUUCGCAAGAACACCAGUGGCGAAGGCGGCUCACUGGCCCGAUACUGACGCUGA
rnacentral:rRNA from 1 species